rnacentral:rRNA from 1 species
CUACGGGCGGCAGCAGUGGGGAAUAUUGCACAAUGGGCGCAAGCCUGAUGCAGCAACGCCGCGUGGGGGACGAAGGCCUUCGGGUUGUAAACCUCUUUUAGUAGGGAAGAAGCGCAAGUGACGGUACCUACAGAAAAAGCACCGGCUAACUACGUGCCAGCAGCCGCGGUAAUACGUAGGGUGCAAGCGUUGUCCGGAAUUAUUGGGCGUAAAGAGCUCGUAGGCGGUUUGUCGCGUCUGCUGUGAAAAUCCGAGGCUCAACCUCGGACCUGCAGUGGGUACGGGCAAACUAGAGUGCGGUAGGGGAGAUUGGAAUUCCUGGUGUAGCGGUGGAAUGCGCAGAUAUCAGGAGGAACACCAAUGGCGAAGGCAGAUCUCUGGGCCGUAACUGACGCUGAGGAGCGAAAGCGUGGGGAGCGAACAGGAUUAGAUACCCGAGUAGUC